AUUGAACGCUGGCGGCAGGCCUAACACAUGCAAGUCGAGCGAGCGGCGGACGGGUGAGUAAUGUCUGGGAAACUGCCUGAUGGAGGGGGAUAACUACUGGAAACGGUAGCUAAUACCGCAUACCAUCAGAUGUGCCCAGAUGGGAUUAGCUAGUAGGUGGGGUAACGGCUCACCUAGGCGACGAUCCCUAGCUGGUCUGAGAGGAUGACCAGCCACACUUGAAUUGAGACACGGUCCAGACGCCGCAGUGAGGCAGCAGUGGGGAAUAUUGCACAAUGGGCGCAAGCCUGAUGCAGCCAUGCCGCGUGUAUGAAGAAGCCCUUCGGGUUGUAAAGCACUUUCAGCGGGUAGGCGUUACCCGCAGAAGAAGCACCGGCUAACUCCGUGCCAGCAGCCGCGGUAAUUC
rnacentral:rRNA from 1 species